rnacentral:rRNA from 1 species
ACGUAGGGUGCGAGCGUUAAUCGGAAUUACUGGGCGUAAAGCGUGCGCAGGCGGUUUUGUAAGCCAGAUGUGAAAUCCCCGGGCUCAACCUGGGAAUGGCAUUUGGGACUGCAAGGCUGGAGUGUGGCAGAGGAGACUGGAAUUCCCGGUGUAGCAGUGAAAUGCGUAGAUAUCGGGAGGAAUACCGAUGGCGAAGGCAGGUCUCUGGGCUGACACUGACGCUCAUGCACGAAAGCGUGGGGAGCAAACAGGAUUAGAUACCCUGGUAGUCCACGCCCUAAACGAUGUCGACUGGUUGUUGGGGGUUUGACACUCUCAGUAACGAAGCUAACGCGUGAAGUCGACCGCCUGGGGAGUACGGCCGCAAGGUUA